AUGAAAUAUAGAAAGGAGCUGUCGCUGGCCCUCGGGCAUGUGCACGCUCCCUUCGUUCCAAUUUCAACCCCUGUGCAUCUUUUGUAGGGAGGUGCUCACGCGCCGACCUAUGUCAUUACAAACCCUGAUAGUAUACAGAAUGUCUUAUGCAUAACGCAUUUUAAUA
rnacentral:misc_RNA from 1 species